rnacentral:lncRNA from 1 species
GGUGGGAGAGGACUCUAAGAAAAACAAGAACAAGAAAGGAAUUUCUGCUUUUAGUGACCAGACCUUCAACUCUUGCUCACAGAAAGAGGGUGCUCAUUAAGAGAAGUUCUUUAAGGAGCCUGCCUUAUCUGCUGGCCCUAUUCCAAGAGAGGAGCCAGUCUCCAGCAUUAAAUUACUUUUCUCACUGGUCAUCAUUAGCAUGGAGAAUGCCUUUGAUCCUAUCCCCACAGCAGCCAGUUCCUGCCCCUGUGGUAGAAAUGUCCCAGGUUGGGGGGCAGAGAAGCCCCUAAAAUAGUUUCAAAGAAUCUACAACAAACUGUAAAGAACUUUGUUUUGUUUUGCCAGUUUGAAUUUAGAAUUCAGGCUUUGGCUGUGGCCGAGGUCAGGAUUAAUGUUUUCGUUUCCAUGGGCCCUUAGCCCACUGAGACAGUUUGGUAAAGGACUACUACUACAGUCCUGAUAUUCAGAGACAUGGAGAGAGCUAUAGUUUUUUUUAUUAAAGGUUGGUACUAUAGUAUUAACAAUCUCUUUAUUAGAUAUAAGAGACAAGAAGCCCCAGGUGAACUGGUUACAAUUCUUUUGUCAGCUGCUUAGUAUCUAACACUCAGGUUCUAUCGUCUCUCCAUCCUUUUAUUAUUAGUUGUUACUGAAAGCCUAGUGCCAUUUAGAGGAUGGGUCUCUUGAGUGAUAAAGCCACUGAGCUGGCACUAAAGGAAGGUACUCCUUAAGGGAAAAUCUAAGUCCAGAGAGACAACCGGUAACAGAUAGACUGCCCCUCUGCUCACUUUUCUGUUUCACAGACACAAGGUCUUUUUGUCCCAAGAAAGCCUCCUGGCUUAGCUGUGUGACUAAAUGCUAUUUGCCCUCUUCAGUGGACCUCUAUUCUCAAGAUUCUCUUGUUUUCUCACCAUCCCAUUUGAGAUGCUUGUUAGUAACUGUUACAGGUCUUCUUUACCACCGAGGAAAGACAAAAUCCUACUAGAGGCCAGAAAAAGUGUUCCAGAGAUGGAUGGAAGGCCCUCACUUCUGCCUGCUCUUUUCAGACGCCUAAAGGUAGGGAGUGCCAGGUCUGCCGCCAGGCUCCAAGGGUGGGUCUCUGAGGGGCUAAAAAAUGCCCCACCAAUCUGGCUAAGAUAAAGAAAGGAUAUGAAGAAAAAGUUACAAAAAUUUAAAGGGUUAAGUUAAGUUGCUGAGAGUUAGUACAAGUUACAGAGAAAGAGGUAAAAAGAACAGAAAGCUAAAAAAAAAAAAGAGACAAAAAGAAGAGGAAGUUAGAGAGAUAAAGAGA